AAUAGAUACCCGGGUAGUCCACGCCGUAAACGAUGAGUGCUAAGUGUUAGAGGGUUUCCGCCCUUUAGUGCUGCAGCUAACGCAUUAAGCACUCCGCCUGGGGAGUACGGCCGCAAGGCCGAAACUCAAAGGAAUUGACGGGGGCCCGCACAAGCGGUGGAGCAUGUGGUUUAAUUCGAAGCAACGCGAAGAACCUUACCAGGUCUUGACAUCCUCUGCCAACCCUAGAGAUAGGGCGUUCCCCUUCGGGGGACAGAGUGACAGGUGGUGCAUGGUUGUCGUCAGCUCGUGUCGUGAGAUGUUGGGUUAAGUCCCGCAACGAGCGCAACCCUUGAUCUUAGUUGCCAGCAUUCAGUUGGGCACUCUAAGGUGACUGCCGGUGACAAACCGGAGGAAGGUGGGGAUGACGUCAAAUCAUCAUGCCCCUUAUGACCUGGGCUACACACGUGCUACAAUGGAUGGUACAAAGAGCUGCGAACCCGCGAGGGUAAGCCAAUCUCAUAAAGCCAUUCUCAGUUCGGAUUGUAGGCUG
rnacentral:rRNA from 1 species